rnacentral:rRNA from 1 species
UACGUAGGGCGCAAGCGUUGUCCGGAAUUAUUGGGCGUAAAGAGCUCGUAGGCGGCUUGUCACGUCGGGUGUGAAAGCCUGGGGCUUAACCCCGGGUCUGCAUUCGAUACGGGCUAGCUAGAGUGUGGUAGGGGAGAUCGGAAUUCCUGGUGUAGCGGUGAAAUGCGCAGAUAUCAGGAGGAACACCGGUGGCGAAGGCGGUCUGCUGGGCCGUUGCUGACGCUGAGGCGCGACAGCGUGGGGAGCAAACAGG